UGGCGAACGGGUGAGUAACACGUGAAUAACCUGCCCUGGAGGUGGGGGACAACAGUUGGAAACGACUGCUAAUACCGCAUAAGCCCACAGAGCCGCAUGGCUCAGGGGGAAAAGGAGCAAUUCGCUUCAGGAUGGAUUCGCGUCCAAUUAGCUAGAUGGUGAGGUAACGGCCCACCAUGGCGACGAUUGGUAGCCGGACUGAGAGGUUGAUCGGCCACAUUGGGACUGAGACACGGCCCAGACUCCUACGGGAGGCAGCAGUGGGGAAUAUUGCACAAUGGGGGAAACCCUGAUGCAGCGACGCCGCGUGGAGGAAGAAGGUCUUCGGAUUGUAAACUCCUGUCGUUGGGGACGAUAAUGACGGUACCCAACAAGAAAGCCACGGCUAACUACGUGCCAGCAGCCGCGGUAAAACGUAGGUGGCAAGCGUUGUCCGGAAUUACUGGGUGUAAAGGGAGCGCAGGCGGAAGGACAAGUUGGAAGUGAAACCCACGGGCUCAACCCGUGAACUGCUCUCAAAACUGUUUUUCUUGAGUGGUGUAGAGGUAGGCGGAAUUCCCGGUGUAGCGGUGGAAUGCGUAGAUAUCGGGAGGAACCCCAGUGGCGAAGGCGGCCUACUGGGCACUAACUGACGCUGAGGCUCGAAAGCAUGGGUAGCAAACAGGAUUAGAUACCCUGGUAGUCCAUGCCGUAAACGAUGAUUACUAGGUGUGGGAGGAUUGACCCCUUCCGUGCCGCAGUUAACACAAUAAAGUAAUCCACCUGGGGAGUACGACCGCAAGGUUGAAAACUCAAAGGAAUU
rnacentral:rRNA from 1 species